rnacentral:rRNA from 1 species
UACGUAGGGUGCGAGCGUUGUCCGGAAUUAUUGGGCGUAAAGAGCUCGUAGGCGGUUUGUCGCGUCGGCCGUGAAAUCUCCACGCUUAACGUGGAGCGUGCGGUCGAUACGGGCAGACUUGAGUUCGGUAGGGGAGACUGGAAUUCCUGGUGUAGCGGUGAAAGUGCGCAGAUAUCAGGAAGAACACCCAGUGGCGAAAGCGGGCAACCUGGCUCGAUACUGACGCUCAUGCACGAAAGCGUGGGGAGCAAACAGG